rnacentral:rRNA from 1 species
CAGUCGAGCGGUAGAGAGAAGCUUGCUUCUCUUGAGAGCGGCGGACGGGUGAGUAAUGCCUAGGAAUCUGCCUGGUAGUGGGGGAUAACGUUCGGAAACGGACGCUAAUACCGCAUACGUCCUACGGGAGAAAGCAGGGGACCUUCGGGCCUUGCGCUAUCAGAUGAGCCUAGGUCGGAUUAGCUAGUUGGUGAGGUAAUGGCUCACCAAGGCGACGAUCCGUAACUGGUCUGAGAGGAUGAUCAGUCACACUGGAACUGAGACACGGUCCAGACUCCUACGGGAGGCAGCAGUGGGGAAUAUUGGACAAUGGGCGAAAGCCUGAUCCAGCCAUGCCGCGUGUGUGAAGAAGGUCUUCGGAUUGUAAAGCACUUUAAGUUGGGAGGAAGGGCAGUUACCUAAUACGUGAUUGUUUUGACGUUACCGACAGAAUAAGCACCGGCUAACUCUGUGCCAGCAGCCGCGGUAAUACAGAGGGUGCAAGCGUUAAUCGGAAUUACUGGGCGUAAAGCGCGCGUAGGUGGUUUGUUAAGUUGGAUGUGAAAUCCCCGGGCUCAACCUGGGAACUGCAUUCAAAACUGACUGACUAGAGUGUGGUAGA